GGCCCCACUUGACACUCAUAUAGAUGAUUCCAUCUAGUGCAUGCUCCAACCACACACCACCCAUAAGGGCUUAUGGUAAUCAUUAAAAGUCGUUUAACCUUACCCAUCAAUUUUAUAUAGAUUAACACUCUUACAUCCAAUAUCAUACACCAUAGGAAAGGGACGAAAAAGUUUCAGUGCUAACAGAACUAACAAGUAACUUGUUUUUCCCAUUGAACCUUCUUCAUGGGAUCUCCAAUCACAAAGGUUGGGUUACCAUUACUUGUCGUUUUCAACUGGCUCAAGUCCCAUUCCCCUCGAUGUUCCACAUAUUAAUUUCAUCCCUAGAGGCUUUGUCAGUGGAUCAGCUAGAUUCACUUCUGACUUCACAUAAUCGAUCGGUAUAGUUCCAUAUUUUUGCAAUAGCUAUAGCCGAUUGGCUAUCACAAUGAAUUGACACUGAUGGUGUUGGUUUUGUUCCUAAAGGAAUACUUACCAAAAAAUUUCUUAACCACUCAGCUUCACUACCAGUCAA
rnacentral:lncRNA from 1 species